GAAUGCCCCAGUGGUCUGCAGGCUGCCAUGGGCUCAUGAUGGAGGUGGCUGCGGCUCUGGCGAGGACCCCCACCGAAGGCUGCAGAAAGGUUCCAGGCCUCCAUGUUGAUGGCAGAAGUGGCGAGGCAGCUCACCCUCCGCCCUGCUGAUUUCUGUGCACAUUUGGGAUGACGUUUUCAACAGCUCCAGUGCUGGAGCCAAGAGACAGUUGGCCUCAGGUUUCCACCUCAGUGGGUAUCCUGCCUCCCUGGGCCUGGCCCUCAGGGCGUGUCUCAGACCCUCACCCACCCAGCCCUGCACUCACGGGGACCUAGGCAUCCUCCUGGGUGGGAGGUGGUGCACAUGGGGUCGGGACGGGGUCAGGACGGGGUUGUUG
rnacentral:lncRNA from 1 species